UACGUAGGUGGCAAGCGUUGUCCGGAAUCACUGGGCGUAAAGCGCGCGCAGGCGGCGAUCUACGUCUGGGGUGAAAGCCCGGAGCUCAACUCCGGGACUGCCUUGGAUACGGGAUCGCUUGAGGAUUGGAGAGGCAAGGGGAAUUCCACGUGUAGCGGUGAAAUGCGUAGAUAUGUGGAGGAACACCAAUGGCGAAGGCAGCACUCUGGGACGUGACUGACGCUGAGACGCGAAAGCGUGGGGAGCAAACAGG
rnacentral:rRNA from 1 species